rnacentral:ncRNA from 1 species
AUAGCAGAUAGGGAACAUAGGGUACAAAGUUAUGGGUCUAAAUCACUUUAGUGAUAUGACUGACAAACUGCCAAU